ACGUAGGAGGCAAGCGUUAUCCGGAGUUACUGGGCGUAAAGGGCGUGCAGGCGGUUGGCUAAGUUCGUUGUGAAAGCGCUCUGGCUCAACCGGGCGAGGACGUGCGGAACUGCUGAACUAGAGGCAGGUAGAGGCAAGUGGAAUUCCGGGUGUAGUGGUGAAAUGCGUAGAGAUCCGGAGGAACCCCGGUGGCGAAGGCGACUUGCUGGGCCUGAACUGACGCUCAGACGCGAAAGCAUGGGGAGCGAACGG
rnacentral:rRNA from 1 species